rnacentral:rRNA from 1 species
UACGUAGGGUGCGAGCGUUGUCCGGAAUUACUGGGCGUAAAGCGUGCGCAGGCGGUUCGUUGUGUCGGCGGUGAAAGCCCCGGGCUCAACCUGGGAAUGGCCGUUGAAACUGGCGAACUGGAGUGUGGCAGAGGGGGGUGGAAUUCCGCGUGUAGCAGUGAAAUGCGCAGAUAUCAGGAGGAACACCGGUGGCGAAGGCGGGUCUCUGGGCAACAACUGACGCUGAGGAGCGAAAGCGUGGGGAGCGAACAGG